UACGUAGGUGGCAAGCGUUGUCCGGAUUUAUUGGGCGUAAAGGGAGCGCAGGCGGUGACUUAAGUCUGAUGUGAAAGCCCGGGGCUCAACCGCGGGACUGCAUCGGAUACUGUAGAUCUGGAGUGCCGGAGGGGCAAGCGGAAUUCCUGGUGUAGCGGUGAAAUGCGUAGAUAUCAGGAGGAACACCGGCGGCGAAGGCGGCUUGCUGGACGGCAACUGACGUUGAGGCUCGAAAGCGUGGGGAGCAAACAGGAUUAGAUACCCCGGUAGU
rnacentral:rRNA from 1 species